CCCUAGCCUUGAUAGAAGUGGAAAUCCUUUUGUGUCCGCUGCGGCGGAUAGAAAAGAUUGAAACGGAUAGCAGGAAAUAGC
rnacentral:sRNA from 1 species